rnacentral:rRNA from 1 species
GACACUUUAAACCCUUUGCAGUUGCAAUCAGCGUCUGAAAAAACUUAAUAGUUACAACUUUCAACAACGGAUCUCUUAGGUUCUGGCAUCGAUGAAGAACGCCAGCGAAAUGCGAUAAGUAGUGUGAAUUGCAGAAUUCAGUGAAUCAUCGAAUCUUUGAACGCACAUUGCGCCCCUUGGUAUUCCAUGGGGCAUGCCUGUUCGAGCGUCAUUUGUACCUUCAAGCUUUGCUUGGUGUUGGGUGUUUGUCUCGCCUCUGCGUGUAGACUCGCCUCAAAACAAUUGGCAGCCGGCGUAUUGAUUUCGGAGCGCAGUACAUCUCGCGCUUUGCACUCAUAACGACGACGUCCAAAAGUACAUUUCUACACUCUUGACCUCGGAUCAGGUAGGGAUACCCGCUGAACUUAAGCAUA